UACAUGGGGUGCAAACGUUGCUCGGAAUCAUUGGGCGUAAAGCGCACGUAGGCGGUCUGUUAUGUCGGAUGUGAAAGCCCUUGGCUUAACUGAGGAAGUGCAUCCGAAACUGGCGGGCUUGAGUACGGAAGAGGGUCUCGGAAUUCCCGGUGUAGAGGUGAAAUUCGUAGAUAUCGGGAGGAACACCAGUGGCGAAGGCGGAGACCUGGGCCGAUACUGACGCUGAGGUGCGAAAGCGUGGGGAGCAAACAGGG
rnacentral:rRNA from 1 species